rnacentral:miRNA from 1 species
GUAGUCACCUGGGCGAACAGACA